rnacentral:rRNA from 1 species
UACGUAGGGUGCAAGCGUUGUCCGGAAUUAUUGGGCGUAAAGAGCUCGUAGGCGGUUCAUUGCGUCAAUCGUGAAAUCCUGUGGCUCAACUACAGGCUUGCGGUUGAUACGGGUGGGCUGGAGUUCGGUAGGGGAGACUGGAAUUCCUGGUGUAGCGGUGAAAUGCGCAGAUAUCAGGAGGAACACCGGUGGCGAAGGCGGGUCUCUGGGCCGAUACUGACGCUGAGGAGCGAAAGCGUGGGGAGCGAACAGG